rnacentral:lncRNA from 1 species
AAUUUACCAACUAUAUCCUUGAGUUUUCGCAUGCAAAUGAUUUUGGAAGCUAGUAUUGCUCGUGUCAUUCCCAAUACAUUAGGUGAGUUUUUUCAUCUAUGUGUAAGUUUUGCACAGCAGAAUAUUUCUACUCUGACAAUAAAUAGCAAACACUCGAUGAAAUACUUGAGAUAUUGCAAACUAAUUUGAACACCAUCAUUACAAAAUAUAUAUGUAAAUAUUUACUUAGGUAAAAGUAAUAUUACAAAAGAAAGAUCAAAGGAAUUAAAAGCAGUAUUCCUAUACUUUGUCGUGCAUCUAGAAUUAAUAAGAUAUAUAGGUAAAAGCUACGUAUUUAAUAUUCUUUAUUCUCUAUUCAUCAUGACUCAAAUAAAUUACAAAAUUGAUUCAUACAGCACUUUUUAUUUUUUCCCUUGUUCUAUUCUAUGUCCUCUAUUUUUCUCUUUUUGAACUCCUGGUCGUUAUAGUCCUACGAAUUCUUUUUUUUUUCUCCUUUUUCACCGCAUUGUCUUCAAUUCCAGAAGUUCCAAGCAGAGAUCUGACAUUUUCCAGCUCUUUCCUAACUUGGGAAUUAACUUACAAAUAUACCCAAAAGAUAUACAAGAAGGCUAGCUAGCCUAGGUCCCAAUUAAAGAACUUGUGCAACGCUUGUGCUGGUGAGAGAUAGCAUGUACGUCAUGGAAUUAGUAAAGAUACACGCAGAAAAAAUUAAAGUGCUUGUGAAGUUGUUUGCUGAAGCCAAUUGGAGAAAGUUUGGAGAGUGUUCAUGUCAGCUCUGUAUUGAUUCUGUGUAAAUUCUAGGAGGGCUGGCCAUGUGAAGUCUGGAUAUAUUCUUGGAUUGUUGGAGUCGACCAAUUCAGUUGGUGGGCUCACCACCUUAUCCUUCUUGGGACAAAGAAAGAAAGCAAGAGAUUUCCUAGGUAUUUUGUUGUUUACCACUGCUCUGUGCAAGCAACUUUUGUAUCUUCCAUUUGAUAGUGCCUG